rnacentral:misc_RNA from 1 species
GGAAGGAUCAUUAACACUUCAAUGUCAACUCUACCGUGCUUGCGGUCGCUUGUGUGGCUCCGGCUGCCUGGUGAUAGCUCGUACGGUAGUCUGCUCCAAUGUGAUACGUUAAAGUACCGUGACGGCAUCCGUUCCACCGGUGGGUUCUCUGCUGGUGGUUUGGUUGUGCGUGGCGGCGUAUGCAAAUUCAAUGGUGGUUUGCGCAUGCUUGCGAUGCAGGUGAGGCUCCGGUUUCGGCUGGGGUUUUUGCUUGUGUUGCAGGUGUGUGCAGGCGACCGUUGGACGUGUGUGCGUUGUUGCGUGCGAUCAUUGAGGGUGUUCGUUGCCAACCAAUAUUAACCCCAUUACCUAAUGUGACUGAUACCGAUCUGGCACGCGUUCACGCGCGUGUCCCGAUCACCAAAGAAAAAAAAACCAUAGACAACUUUUUGACAACGGAUAUCUUGGUUCUCGCAACGAUGAAGAGCGCAGCGAAAUGCGAUACGUAAUGUGAAUUGCAGAAUUCAGUGAAUCAUCAAAACCUUGAACGCAACUUGCGCUCGUGAGUCCACUCACGAGCAUGCCUGUUUGAGUAUCGGUUACAAAUCCUCAAACCCUUAUCGCCUUGUUUGGUGGUUUGGGUUUGGAAGCGAAUGGGAGUUGAGGCUUGCCUCGUCUCUUUGAAACAUUGGCGUUCGGUCGUGCUUGUCUUGCGAGCGAAAUCUCUGGCGAAUCGGCGUGGCCGGUCUAGCUUCGAAAAGCCGCAACUUCUAACGAGGUUGGUACGGGGACGUCCUAGUGUAAUCAGGUGGCUGUCAUGGCUCUUGCGAACGCUACGGAUCGACUCUGGCAGACGGAUUCCCAUUGAAUUGGGAGGGCUGGUUGCAAUGGUAAUGCUGGGGCGGCGUCGCGAGGUUUGCGUGGUCGUCCGCGUGCAGGGUAGACGGGACUUGGUUUGGCGAGCAGAGCGUGUUCCUGUGUGUAUGGGGUGGUGGAGCCGACGAGUCCGACGGGAGCAAUUCCUUUGGGCGACGAGGUUCUGCCGCUUGUGUAUGCCGGCGCGCGUUUUUGCAAGCCGAGCUUUUUUUUACGUCGAUUUCAAUACUAAAUAAAACAUCGAUCUCAAAUCAGGCAAGGCUACCCGCUGAAUUUAAGCAUAUCAAUAAGCGGAGGAAAAAGAAACUAACCAGGAUUCCCCUAGUAACGGCGAGUGAAGAGGGAAGAGCUCAAAUUUGGAAUCUGCCGGGUUUCACCUGUGUAGAAUUGUAGUUUUGUGAACGGCCUUACGGAGCGGCGCCUUGCGAUCGAAGUCCAUUGGAACAUGGCACCAGAGAGGGUGAGAGUCCCGUUCAUGGUUGCUCGGUCGCCGUUCGACACGUACUGCCGUCUCGACGAGUCGGGGUUGUUUGGGAGUACAGCCCUAAAUCGGGUGGUAAAUCUCAUCUAAAGCUAAAUAAUGGCGAGAGACCGAUAGCGAACAAGUACCGUGAGGGAAAGAUGCAAAGAACCCUGAAAAGAGAGUUAAAAGUGCUUGAAAUUGUCAAAAGGGAAGCGAUUGGAACCAGUGUCUGCGCCCGGCCGAAUCAGCCGUCUGGCGACUGCUGGUGUUUGUCUCGCGAGGAGUCCCUGGUGGCUUCCGCGCGGCGAAUGCCUGGUGGUCGUCCGGCGGUGCGCUUUGGUUGGCGCGCGCGUCAGCGUCGGUUAGGGGGAUCGAUAGAUGGGUCGCUGGAAGGUGGGCGGAGGCGGUCAAACGCUUUCGUCGUUACAGCCGGUGGCACGUGGUGUCGUCUUGGCCUGAUCGAGGCGUCUUCACGGACGUUUCAACGAGCGGUCUUCGGAUCGGGAGACGUGCUGCCUGGCGGUCGAUGACGAUGGGAACAGCUCGCUGUGCCCGUUGAUUGUCGCGCUGCUACCGCGGUGCUUAUCACUAGCUCGUUAGGGAUGCUGACAAAAUGGCGUCAAUCGACCCGUCUUGAAACACGGACCAAGGAGUCUAACAUGUAUGCGAGUAUUCGGGUGGCAAACCCGCGAUGCGCAAUGAAGGUGAGAAAUUCCGGUGGGAUUCGCCGUCAAAAAGCGAUGCACCAUCGACCGCUCUGGAGAUUUUUCGAUAGAUGUGAGUGGGAGCAUGCCUGUUAGGACCCGAAAGAUAGCGAACUAUGCUUGCAUAGGGUGAGGCCAGAAGAAAUUUCUGGUGGAGGCUCGUAGCGAUACUGACGUGCAAAUCGUUCGUCAAAUGUGAGUAUAGCGGCGAAAGACUAAUCGAGCUAUCUAGUAGCUGGUUUCCUC